rnacentral:lncRNA from 1 species
AUUCAAGUAUGUCAACUUAACGCCUUGUAUAUUUCAUAUGUCCUUGGCCAUCUCCCAAAUUCUAUUAAGGAUUGUUUUCUGGCUAAACACGGUAAGUAAUACAUUAAUGCUUUACGAGAAAUGAUUGUGGCAGAUUGCUGUUUUUAAGACUCGUAUAUAAAAAAGAAGAUGUGGUAUAAUUGCCAAUGAGACAACUGUCCACAAGAGACCAAAAUGACACAGACAUUAACAACUAUAGGUCAUCGUACGGCCUUCAACAAUGAACAAAGGCCAUACCGCAUAGUCGCUAUAAAAGGCCCCGAUAUGACUGUAAAAUAAUUCAAACGAGAAAACUAACGGCCUUAUUUAUAUAAAAAGCCUUAAUUUCAUUCGAUUGAUCUGGACAUGUCAAACAAGAAUAUAUAUAUUAUAUGAUUUAGCGGUGGGUUAUAUUAAAGAAUUCAAUGCUCUUUUUUGUAAAUUUAUUGGGGUGUAAAAGCGUUGACCGAAGUACAUUUUGUAUGAAGCGCUUCCGCGCUUCAUACUAAAAAUGUGCGCACGGUCAACGCUUUUACAACCCUAUAAAGUUAAAAAAAAAAAAAGCAUUCAAUACUUAUAAUUACAUUUUUACCUAUAGGAUCAUGAAAACACUCCUUUUAUCAAGUUUUUAUUUCAUUUACCUGUGCACUUUAUUGUGGGACCUCGUGUCAUCAUGAAUGAAAAGUUGCAUUGUGUAAUGCAAUUGAUUAAAGAAUGUCACCAGACUGCUAGUUAGCCAAUCAGAAUGACGUAUUAUAAUGAAACAUACAUCUAAUGUAAUUAUUCGAACAUGUUCAAUUGUAUGGAGACCGAUGAACACUGGGAACUAAACCAAUAGAUCAUCAUAAUCAUCUUGAAAGAGCAAAUAAGAAAGUAUGUGGUUAAGGUUUGGGAAUGGCAACUAUUUACAAGGAAUUAAGCAUGCCAAAAUGGCAAAUUUACCUUGAUACAGUAAAUUAGAUAAGAAGAUUUUACGAGAUUUAAUCAAAAAACGAUAAUUUAAAAAAAACACACAAUACCCAAAAGGAAAAGAAUGCUCUUCAACUUUAUACUUGUUUGGCUUUCUAAAUACUUUUAUCUGAACGUCACAGGUUAAUAUUGUGUAGAUGUAACUCGCGUCUGGCGUAGCCAGGUAACUUUGAUAGCAAUUUCAUUUGAAAAAUUCUUAGAUCUCAUAAUAGCUCAAUAUUUGUAUAUUUUGUGUAUGAAUAAAUAGACGAGAUACAACUAAUCUUAAAUCAUACACCUGCAUUAAACUUUGAAAACCC